rnacentral:rRNA from 1 species
ACUCCUAGCCUGACUAUUGGACUAAUCUAUUCAACUAUAGAAGAAAUACUGUUAAUAUGAGUAACAAGAAAAAUUUUCUCCUCGCACAAGCCUAUGUCAGUAACUGAUAGUAUGCUGAUAGUUAACAACCAAUAAAUAUAACCCAACACUAAAUUAUUUAUUAAUCAUACUGUUAACCCAACACAGGUGUGCACUAAGGAAAGAUUAAAAGGAGUAAAAGGAACUCGGCAAACACAAACCCCGCCUGUUUACCAAAAACAUCACCUCUAGCAUAACUAGUAUUAGAGGCACUGCCUGCCCAGUGACAAUCGUUAAACGGCCGCGGUAUCUUGACCGUGCAAAGGUAGCAUAAUCACUUGUUCUCUAAAUAAGGACUUGUAUGAAUGGCCACACGAGGGUUUUACUGUCUCUUACUCCCAAUCAGUGAAAUUGACCUCCCCGUGAAGAGGCGGGGAUAACACAAUAAGACGAGAAGACCCUAUGGAGCUUUAAUUAAUCAACUCAAAAAGCAUAAAAUAAUACCACCAAGGGAUAACAAAGCUUUACAUGAGCUGACAAUUUCGGUUGGGGUGACCUCGGAGCAUAAAAAACCCUCCGAGUGAUUAAAACUUAGGCCUACCAGCCAAAGUAUAACAUCACUUAUUGAUCCAAAAUUUUGAUCAACGGAACAAGUUACCCUAGGGAUAACAGCGCAAUCCUAUUCUAGAGUCCAUAUCGACAAUAGGGUUUACGACCUCGAUGUUGGAUCAGGACAUCCUAGUGGUGCAGCAGCU